AUGGCUAUGGAAAACAGCCUUCAGGCAGUUGGAAUAGAAAGCAGCCCAACGGAGAGUUCACUGGACACACAGGCCCAUCAGGAAUCACCCAGCACAAUGCUAAAUGGGAUGGUCAAUGAUGCCGCGACAGAAGAAUGCGGAGAAAGAGAGUUAAUUCCUCACGAUGGACUGAGAGGACAGAGCAUCAUCAGCCAGGCCUCUAAUUAGGCUCCCGGUUUUCAAAACGUCAGUCGUGAAGCGCAACAUUGGCUAAAUCAAUAGGACAUAGUGCAAAUACAUAUGGUGUGUUGCUAGAAACAAAUAAUUAUGCAAAAAGCCAGCAUUCGCACGAUGAGGCGAAACACGGUUUUAAAGAGCAUUUGGCCAGGUUUUAGAAUGCGACAGAAAGAUCUGGCUCCUAAAUAAAAGGCUGUGUAGUACAUAUUCAAAAACACCACCCCAACUCAAAGUGUAAAUAUUUAUCAGACCAAUCACCUCCCUCUCACAUUUGUCCUAAUAAAUCAUUUCUGCUUUCUAUUUAGUGCUUUCAUUAUGAGCCGUAAUCUGCCUGAAAGCGGCUCUGCACACUGGGGAGGAAAUAAAGGUUUGAUCUGAAUAUAGACUGAAUUUGCCCAACAUUAUCCAUGCUAACACACCAUUGACAUUAGAGCAGAAAGAGAUGACUUGCCUUUCAUCUGUAACAGCCGUCUAAUGCUAAAUGACAGAAAGAUGAUCUUAGAUGCAGGCUAUUGUAAGGUGAUCACUAAAAAUAAUAAGGAAAAAUGAAUGCUAACUGCAUUACAAUCACAUUUCUUUUAGUUUCAUAACUCUUUACUGAAAUGGGGAAAAAAAAACCUGUCCACUUCUUAUAUAUUGAUAAAGAAAAAUGUAAUGUAAAGCUACAAUACAACUUUAAAGAAAAAUAAAAAUGCUACAAUUUGCUAAGAAUUGUAGCUAAACUGAAAGAUUCACUGCUUAGUGUCACUCCUGUCCGAAACUGGCUUUGUAUGCAUUCAAAGGAAUUAUUUCAUUAGAUAUCAUUAUGCUUCGUUUAUAUGUAAAAAGCAAAACAUAUUUUAAAUAUCAGUCCAUAUAUGUGCACACAUUGUCCAGUGUCUCUGGUUUCUAUACCUAUUCCUGUCUGACAGUGAACAUUUAGCAGUCAGUUUUAGGGUUGUAGGGUGUACCCUUCAACAAACGGCCUCAAAAUAGUCACUUACAAAAUGAGAAAAGGGUGUUUCCUCAUACCCAGAGAGAGAGAGAGUUUGCCGUCUUCUUAUUUGACACAAAUUGUCUGUGCACUCUAAAGAAAAUGCAGUGUCCUGCCAAGUUGACCACAUAUUUACUGUUUACUGCUGGCUGUUGCACAUGUGGUUUUAGCAUACGCUCUCCUCUCCCAGUUAAAUCAUCUGUGGUCCCUGGGCUUUCUUCUGACAUACGCUGCAUUGGCACUGCUGCAGCAGCUUAAAUUUUUCAAGCAAAGAAA
ensembl:lncRNA